UGCAGUCGACGGAAAGGCCCCUUCGGGGGUACUCGAGUGGCGAACGGGUGAGUAACACGUGGGUGAUCUGCCCUGCACUUUGGGAUAAGCCUGGGAAACUGGGUCUAAUACCGAAUAGGACCGCAUGCUUCAUGGUGUGUGGUGGAAAGCUUUUGCGGUGUGGGAUGGGCCCGCGGCCUAUCAGCUUGUUGGUGGGGUAAUGGCCUACCAAGGCGACGACGGGUAGCCGGCCUGAGAGGGUGUCCGGCCACACUGGGACUGAGAUACGGCCCAGACUCCUACGGGAGGCAGCAGUGGGGAAUAUUGCACAAUGGGCGCAAGCCUGAUGCAGCGACGCCGCGUGGGGGAUGACGGCCUUCGGGUUGUAAACCUCUUUCAGUAUCGGCGAAGCUCCAAGGUUUUCUUUGGGGUGACGGUAGGUACAGAAGAAGCACCGGCCAACUACGUGCCAGCAGCCGCGGUAAUACGUAGGGUGCGAGCGUUGUCCGGAAUUACUGGGCGUAAAGAGCUCGUAGGUGGUUUGUCACGUUGUCCGUGAAAACUCACAGCUUAACUGUGGGCGUGCGGGCGAUACGGGCAGACUAGAGUACUGUAGGGGAGACUGGAAUUCCUGGUGUAGCGGUGGAAUGCGCAGAUAUCAGGAGGAACACCGGUGGCGAAGGCGGGUCUCUGGGCAGUAACUGACGCUGAGGAGCGAAAGCGUGGGGAGCGAACAGGAUUAGAUACCCUGGUAGUCCACGCCGUAAACGGUGGGUACUAGGUGUGGGUUUCCUUCCUUUAGGGAUCCGUGCCGUAGCUAACGCAUUAAGUACCCCGCCUGGGGAGUACGGCCGCAAGGCUAAAACUCAAUGGAAUUUGACGG
rnacentral:rRNA from 1 species